AUGAUAUGAUUUUUUGAGCACUGGUUUGAAUUUUUUCUCAUAUGCUAUCAUUGUUUUUGACACAUGAAGAGAAUGUGACAAUUUGUGUCACAUUUUUUGCAUUCAAUUUGUGCAUUUUUGUUCAUCUAUCAUUUUAACUUUUCUGGAUUUGAUUUUUUGCACAUUGCUUGUUCAUGACAUGAGAAACGUGCAUAAAAAAUUUCAUAGCCUUUGCAUGCUUUUCUGUUUU
rnacentral:lncRNA from 1 species